rnacentral:rRNA from 1 species
AGACUGGGAUAACUUCGGGAAACCGGAGCUAAUACCGGAUAAUAUUUUGAACCGCAUGGUUCAAAAGUGAAAGACGGUCUUGCUGUCACUUAUAGAUGGAUCCGCGCUGCAUUAGCUAGUUGGUAAGGUAACGGCUUACCAAGGCAACGAUGCAUAGCCGACCUGAGAGGGUGAUCGGCCACACUGGAACUGAGACACGGUCCAGACUCCUACGGGAGGCAGCAGUAGGGAAUCUUCCGCAAUGGGCGAAAGCCUGACGGAGCAACGCCGCGUGAGUGAUGAAGGUCUUCGGAUCGUAAAACUCUGUUAUUAGGGAAGAACAUAUGUGUAAGUAACUGUGCACAUCUUGACGGUACCUAAUCAGAAAGCCACGGCUAACUACGUGCCAGCAGCCGCGGUAAUACGUAGGUGGCAAGCGUUAUCCGGAAUUAUUGGGCGUAAAGCGCGCGUAGGCGGUUUUUUAAGUCUGAUGUGAAAGCCCACGGCUCAACCGUGGAGGGUCAUUGGAAACUGGAAAACUUGAGUGCAGAAGAGGAAAGUGGAAUUCCAUGUGUAGCGGUGAAAUGCGCAGAGAUAUGGAGGAACACCAGUGGCGAAGGCGACUUUCUGGUCUGUAACUGACGCUGAUGUGCGAAAGCGUGGGGAUCAAACAGGAUUAGAUACCCUGGUAGUCCACGCCGUAAACGAUGAGUGCUAAGUGUUAGGGGGUUUCCGCCCCUUAGUGCUGCAGCUAACGCAUUAAGCACUCCGCCUGGGGAGUACGACCGCAAGGUUGAAACUCAAAGGAAUUGACGGGGACCCGCACAAGCGGUGGAGCAUGUGGUUUAAUUCGAAGCAACGCGAAGAACCUUACCAAAUCUUGACAUCCUUUGACAACUCUAGAGAUAGAGCCUUCCCCUUCGGGGGACAAAGUGACAGGUGGUGCAUGGUUGUCGUCAGCUCGUGUCGUGAGAUGUUGGGUUAAGUCCCGCAACGAGCGCAACCCUUAAGCUUAGUUGCCAUCAUUAAGUUGGGCACUCUAAGUUGACUGCCGGUGACAAACCGGAGGAAGGUGGGGAUGACGUCAAAUCAUCAUGCCCCUUAUGAUUUGGGCUACACACGUGCUACAAUGGACAAUACAAAGGGCAGCGAAACCGCGAGGUCAAGCAAAUCCCAUAAAGUUGUUCUCAGUUCGGAUUGUAGUCUGCAACUCGACUACAUGAAGCUGGAAUCGCUAGUAAUCGUAGAUCAGCAUGCUACGGUGAAUACGUUCCCGGGUCUUGUACACACCGCCCGUCACACCACGAGAGUUUGUAACACCCGAAGCCGGUGGAGUAACCUUUUAGGAGCUAGCCGUCGAAGGUGGGACAAAUGAUUGGGGUGAAGUCGUAACAAGGUAGCCGUAUCGGAAGGUGCGGCUG